UCGGUUUAUGUCUGACGUUAAACAAGUAAUUUUACUAAUACUGUUAUUAUCGGUUUUUUUUUUUUGUAACUUAUUUUUUGUUGUUCAUAGUGUAUAGCAGAAACUUUAGACAAAAAAAGAUAUCUUUAAUGCUUUAACAUCUUCAUCAUUUUCAUAAUCUAUUGUUAAAGUUUCAUUUUUAUUUAAAAAUAAAUUUUUUUAAUAUGUCCAUAACUAACGUUUUAUCUUUUUUAUUUUGUAACUUCUCUGCAAUUAUGUAAUACCCAUGUAAACAAGCAUCUGCAUAAUUGGUUGGUGAUCGAUUCCCCCAUUUUAUUAAAUCUCUUAAAGUCAUAAAAUUAUUAUUAAAAUAGUUAUAAUUUGAUUUUACUGCUUUUAAUUUAUUAAACACUUGUAUCAUUUUAUUAGCAAUUUUUGGAAAAAGUGAACAUCUUCUAUGUAAAAUAAUUUCAAGUUCUUCUGAUUCAAAACCUUUUAUAUAAAAUUCAAUAAAUCUACUUCUCAAAGCUUUUGACAAUUCUUUUCUACCCAAGUAAUCAUUAUUAUUAGCAGGAUUUUGUGUAGCAAAUAACAUAAAAUCUUUAUGUGCUUUUAUAUAUGUUUUCAUUUCAGGUAUAUAUAUUUCUUUAUUAUCAUCUAAUAUUCUGUUUAAAGAUUCAAGUACUUCUGAUGGUGCUAAAUUUAAUUCAUCUAGCACUACCCAAUAUCCAUAUCGUACUGCUUUUACAAAUAUACCUUCUUCAUAUAUUAAAUUACCAGUAUUAGGAUCAUUCACAAAUUGACCAUAAUAUUCAUUAAUAUCAGUGUUCAUAUGAUUAUUUAUUCUGAUAAAUUUAUGUCCAGUUAUAUUUGCCAUAAAUUUUACUAAAGAUGUUUACCAACAGAUGUAUCACCUUCUAACAAAAUAGGAUUUCUAGGACCACUUAAACAUAAAGCUAACUUUUUUAUAUUUUCUUUUACAUUUUUUGUAAUAAUAAAAUUUGAUAAUAGUUCUUUUAAAUCGAUUGGUUCUUUUCCACAACGUACCCAACUGUUUUCAAUUAAAACAUAUUUUUUCAGUUACUCCACAAAAUAUACUGUUUUUUGUUUUUGCAUUAUCAGUCCCAUUUGUAUGUUUGUCAUUAAAAAUGGGGUGUAUAUUUCCUACAGAUUUCUUUUUAUUAUGAUUAUUAAGACUAUUACCCGAAACGUACUGCUGUAUGUUGAUUUUAUUUUUUCCCUUUUUUUCCAUCGUAUUAAAUUCACGAUAUGUAUAAUAAUUCUCUAACAUACUCACAUCGAUAAUACCAUUUUUUUUCAAUUCGCAUCGUUAUAUCAUUAUUUAAAUAUUUUUUUUCUUGUGACAAUUUAAAAUAUUUAUCAAGUAUAUGUUCUAUCAUUUUUUUGAUUUGUUACAUUUACACAACUUUUAAAACUGCAAUUGAAUCCAUUUUAAUAGCUAUAAAAAGAGGUA
rnacentral:lncRNA from 1 species